rnacentral:lncRNA from 1 species
UAAUAGAGAUAUUUACUUUGUUAUAUUUUUAGAACUAUCUCCUUUAGGUCUAAAAGUUAAUUUAGGAAAUAUAGGUACCAUUAAUAGGACAGAUAAAGCAAUUCAUUUUAAUAGAUCUAAAUUAAUUGAAGAUCAGUUUGUAAAGUUAUACAAAAGAAAAGAAGUAAAUGAUCACUAUAACUUAAAAGAUUUUGACUAUAAAGUUGGAUCUUAAAUAAACAAA